CCACACUAUAGAAGAGAGAAGCCUAGGGCUCUCUCUAAAAACAACUUCUCUUCAAGACAUCGUCUCCUCUCUCAUGCCUCACACCAAACGCCGCCACCCCUCUCAUGUUGAACGCUAAACUCAAUCCGCUGGUCGAUGUCCAUUGUCCUCCAUCUUCACUGCCAGCCUACCCUCAAUCCACUUCAGCUGCAGCUUCCUGAUGUCCACUGCAUUGAUCCUCACUGCACCGGCGUCCGUGUCAUAGAAUCGUUGCAGUAGCACAAUGGUCGUCGACUUCCCGCUCCCGCUGGUGCCCACCAGCACCACCGUUUGCCCCAUUGGGACUCGGAGGCUGAAGUUCCUCAGCAUAGGCACCUCCCGCCGUGAAGGGUACGCGAACUAGACCGAUUCAAACGCCACCUCGCCGCACAUCUCCUCCAUUUUCAACUCUUUGGGAUCCUCUGCAUCGAUUCGUUGAUGCCUGUUGAUCCUCUCGAGUAUCCUCUUCGUCGCCACCGACGCCUCCACGAAGUGCUUCACCUCCGCUAGUGCCAUGCCAAGAGAUCUACAUACACCGAUCCAUGGGUUUCAUUUCAUAACCAGAAACAAACACAAAGGAUGAAGAACCAGAAAAGCUUAAACUCGCUUACAAUCUUCCCAAAACAAAGGAAAUUCCGGCGGCAUAAAUCCUUCUGCCUUUCACAGUGGUACAUCACCAGAUGACUAUUGUACCAGGCGAGGAACUCCCAGAUGGUGAAGGACAACCUAGUGCUUCCCACCUCGAGUCCCUUGGCAAUCCCCUGCUUGAUCCCCAAUCUCACCCUAAGAUGGCGGAAUACCUCUCCGCAUUGCUCUUCUCAGCCGUGAAGGAUUAGAUGGUCUUGAUCGAACUCAUCGCUUGCUUGACAACGGUGUUGGCUUUAUCGAUACCAAAGUACAUGUACUUUGGUAUCUGAUCAUACAUGAAUGAAUUGUCUUUUUAAUCUUAAAUUUAGUUUCAUCAAAAUAAUAGGCCAGUUUUAGUGGUUAGAGACAAUGAAGUUUUCUGUUUUGAGAUUAGUUCUUGAAACUAAUUCAUAGUUGUAUUUAAUGCUUAGUUGUACAAAAUUGUAAGCAAUAGAACUAAUUCUUUUUUCAGGCCAAAACAACAAAGAAGAUUGUGUUGACACUUCAAUGCCAGAGCUACGAGCAUUAUUCACAACAUCCCAUAAAACUUUAGAUGCAAACACUUUGAGAUUGGAGGAGACAAAAAGGAAUGGAUUUGCAUCAUUGCUGGAGUUAGUUUUGGGUGACAGAACUUUGACUGAGUCUGAAUCUCAACAUUGUGAAUCUAUAAACACCUACAUAGAAUAGAUACUAGUUAUCCCAGUCAGACCUUGCCAUGUGGACUACAAAAAUAAUCUUACAUGUCAUCAGCAAGUGUCUUUUCAGAUAUUUUGAAUGGUGAAUGGAGGUAUUUAGAAACUCCAACAAAAUAACUCGGGUAUGAAUGAUUAUAGGAGCAGCAAUUACAUGCUAUGUGGCACUGCAUCCAAACCUCAAGGUUGUGACUGGAAAGUACUUCGACAAAGAACUAUUAAGAAGACUUUGGGAUAUAAACAAGAAGAUGGUUAAAGCUAAUGAGUAAAGAACAUUCAAGUCAAGAGGAUAAGUAGCAUCUAUCAAGAUCCUUUAAGUUCAUACAAUAAGAUGUAGUCGAUAGGAGUAGUUUUGAGUAUCUCCUAAUUAAAAUUUCUUUGUAUGCAAGUAAUUAUGUUUGUUAUAGAAGUGUAAGAAUGAUAAUUUGUAUAUUUAUCUUAGUUAUUUAUUUAAUAAUAUGUUGUCGAUUGAAAUA